rnacentral:lncRNA from 1 species
GGGGUCUGCACACUGGAGAUCAUGCCAUCUUGGAGUCCUCCUGGGCACGUAGGCAAGAGAGAAGCACCCCACACGUGGGACCCCCGUCCAUGACAGGAGAGGACAGUGGUCAAGAGCUCAAAUACAAUCGGACAGAACCGGCUGUUCCUCCAGUGCAGGAGGAGUUGUGUGGCCUUGGGCAAGUUUCUCAACCUCUCUGAGCCAGUUUCCUCAUCCCUUGAGUCUGAUCCCAAAAACCCCACAGUAUUAAUCACACUGUCCCCUGGGGCCAUCUUCACCGCCAGGACCUGGCAGAGAGAAGCCAAGAGGAUUAAGGCAGGACAGUCACAGACAGAAGCCCCCUGGCCACGGAUGGGCCCUGGAGGGCAGGAUCCUGAACUGGCUUGAAGUCUCCCAC